CUAAUACAGAUUCGUACACGUCGCGACACCUUUUUGCAGAAAUUCUAUAAAACCCGACAAAAAUUAACAGUUUGCAUCAGUUCCCUAAGAAGUUCUUACAAACCAAUCUCUUAAAAAUGAAACUAUUUUUGCCCUGUGCUGUUUUGCUGGCCGUGAUCGCUCUUUGCCAGGGAGUGCCAAAUGAUGCCAACAAUGCCAACAAGAAUGCCCGUACAGCAAAUGACGCAAACAACAACGCAAACAACAACAACUGAGCUCAAGUCGACUCUUGACAAAGAUGUAAUCAAUUUGCAAAUGAAUAAAAAUAUUAAUUGCUAACUAAAACAAUA